ACCCGCUUAAUCCGCCUCUAGGUAGAGCGUUGGACUUCUAAUCCAAAGGUCGUGGGUUCGAAUCCCACCUGGGAUU